UACGUAGGGGGCAAGCGUUGUCCGGAUUUACUGGGUGUAAAGGGCGUGCAGCCGGAGAGGCAAGUCAGAUGUGAAAUCCGCGGGCUCAACCCGCGAACUGCAUUUGAAACUGCUUCCCUUGAGUAUCGGAGAGGUAACCGGAAUUCCUAGUGUAGCGGUGAAAUGCGUAGAUAUUAGGAGGAACACCAGUGGCGAAGGCGGUCAACUGGACAGCAACUGACGCUGAGGCGCGAAAGCGUGGGGAGCAAACAGG
rnacentral:rRNA from 1 species